CUCGGAGGUGAGGAGAGAGACACCACAUCCGACCAGCGUUCGUCCCUCACACAUAGUUCAAAAUACAAAAACUCCUAGAGAAUAUGCUUCUAGUUACAUUAGAGAUGAUACACAAAAACAUAGUGCAUUAAAACUAAAAAUUAAAAUAUAAAAAUUAUUUAUUAUAUAAAAGCAUUUACAUACACUAUUUCUAAAAAUAGAAGUUAGAACCUAAAAAUGUACAAUAAUAUUCACUUGUUUGAAAUUAUUUUAAUGGAAAAAUCAGAUAUUUUUAUUUGUUUAUUCUUUUUCUCUACAGACAAACCAACACAUGCUGAAGGUACUGGCAAGCAGACAAGAUUUGCAGUUUCUACUCUCUCUUUUGGAGAUGGUAGACCUGCAAAAAGGAUUCUGUGCUCUCAGCCAGAGUUAUAUCCUGAAGCAUUGACUUUCCUUUGGAUGGCCAUUAUCAAGGAUGGCUACCCAGAUUUCAUGAUGAUGGCUGCAUGAAGUCGGUCUUCUAGAAGGGAAGAUCCUAAACAGAGUGGAUGGUACUCCUUCAGGAGAGCUUUUUAACAAUGCUCAGGAGCUAUACUUUGGAGAAUGAUGCACUCAUUUAUAUUUAUAUAAAUGAGUUCGCAUGUCAGUGGCUCACCCAACUUUUA
rnacentral:lncRNA from 1 species